GCCGGGAUAGCUCAGCUGGGAGAGCAACAGACUGAAGUUGGUCGAUUUCUGGAGGUCCCGUGUUCAAUCCACGGUCCUGGCA